rnacentral:rRNA from 1 species
GGCAGGCCUAACACAUGCAAGUCGAACGGUAACAGGAAGCAGCUUGCUGCUUUGCUGACGAGUGGCGGACGGGUGAGUAAUGUCUGGGAAACUGCCUGAUGGAGGGGGAUAACUACUGGAAACGGUGGCUAAUACCGCAUAACGUCGCAAGACCAAAGAGGGGGACCUUCGGGCCUCUUGCCAUCAGAUGUGCCCAGAUGGGAUUAGCUUGUUGGUGAGGUAACGGCUCACCAAGGCGACGAUCCCUAGCUGGUCUGAGAGGAUGACCAGCCACACUGGAACUGAGACACGGUCCAGACUCCUACGGGAGGCAGCAGUGGGGAAUAUUGCACAAUGGGCGCAAGCCUGAUGCAGCCAUGCCGCGUGUAUGAAGAAGGCCUUCGGGUUGUAAAGUACUUUCAGCGGGGAGGAAGGUGUUGUGGUUAAUAACCGCAGCAAUUGACGUUACCCGCAGAAGAAGCACCGGCUAACUCCGUGCCAGCAGCCGCGGUAAUACGGAGGGUGCAAGCGUUAAUCGGAAUUACUGGGCGUAAAGCGCACGCAGGCGGUCUGUCAAGUCGGAUGUGAAAUCCCCGGGCUCAACCUGGGAACUGCAUUCGAAACUGGCAGGCUUGAGUCUUGUAGAGGGGGGUAGAAUUCCAGGUGUAGCGGUGAAAUGCGUAGAGAUCUGGAGGAAUACCGGUGGCGAAGGCGGCCCCCUGGACAAAGACUGACGCUCAGGUGCGAAAGCGUGGGGAGCAAACAGGAUUAGAUACCCUGGUAGUCCACGCCGUAAACGAUGUCUACUUGGAGGUUGUGCCCUUGAGGCGUGGCUUCCGGAGCUAACGCGUUAAGUAGACCGCCUGGGGAGUACGGCCGCAAGGUUAAAACUCAAAUGAAUUGACGGGGGCCCGCACAAGCGGUGGAGCAUGUGGUUUAAUUCGAUGCAACGCGAAGAACCUUACCUGGUCUUGACAUCCACGGAAGAAUUCAGAGAUGGAUUUGUGCCUUCGGGAACCGUGAGACAGGUGCUGCAUGGCUGUCGUCAGCUCGUGUUGUGAAAUGUUGGGU